rnacentral:rRNA from 1 species
GAGUUUGAUCCUGGCUCAGGAUAAACGCUGGCGGCGCACAUAAGACAUGCAAGUCGAACGGACUUAAUCAGUUUGUUUACAAAUUGAAGCGGUUAGUGGCGGACUGGUGAGUAACACGUAAGCAACCUGCCCAUUAGAGGGGAAUAACAGUGAGAAAUCAUUGCUAAUACCGCAUAUACCAAUAAUGUUGCAUGACAUAUUUGGGAAAGGAGCAAUCCGCUAAUAGAUGGGCUUACGCCUGAUUAGCUAGUUGGUGGGGUAACGGCCUACCAAGGCGACGAUCAGUAGCCGGACUGAGAGGUUGAACGGCCACAUUGGGACUGAGAUACGGCCCAGACUCCUACGGGAGGCAGCAGUCGGGAAUAUUGCGCAAUGGAGGAAACUCUGACGCAGCGACGCCGCGUAUAGGAAGAAGGUUUUCGGAUUGUAAACUAUCGUCAUUAGGGAAGAAAAAAGACAGUACCUAAGGAGGAAGCUCCGGCUAACUACGUGCCAGCAGCCGCGGUAAUACGUAGGGAGCAAGCGUUAUCCGGAAUUAUUGGGUGUAAAGGGUGCGUAGACGGGAAUUUAAGUUAGUUGUGAAAUCCCUCGGCUUAACUGAGGAACUGCAACUAAAACUGGAUUUCUUGAGUGCAGGAGAGGAAAGUGGAAUUCCUAGUGUAGCGGUGAAAUGCGUAGAUAUUAGGAGGAACACCAGUGGCGAAGGCGACUUUCUGGACUGUAACUGACGUUGAGGCACGAAAGUGUGGGGAGCAAACAGGAUUAGAUACCCUGGUAGUCCACACUGUAAACGAUGGAUACUAGGUGUAGGGUGUAUUAAGCAUUCUGUGCCGUCGCAAACGCAAUAAGUAUCCCACCUGGGGAGUACGGCCGCAAGGUUGAAACUCAAAGGAAUUGACGGGGGCCCGCACAAGCAGUGGAGUAUGUGGUUUAAUUCGAAGCAACGCGAAGAACCUUACCAGGGCUUGACAUAUAGAGGAAUAUAUAAGAGAUUAUAUAGCUCUUCGGAGUCUCUAUACAGGUGGUGCAUGGUUGUCGUCAGCUCGUGUCGUGAGAUGUUGGGUUAAGUCCCGCAACGAGCGCAACCCCUAUGGUUAGUUGCCAGCAUUUAGGAUGGGAACUCUAGCCAGACUGCCGGUGAUAAAUCGGAGGAAGGUGGGGACGACGUCAAAUCAUCAUGCCCUUUAUGUCCUGGGCUAUACACGUACUACAAUGGUUGUAACAAAGGGAAGCAAAAUAGUGAUAUAGAGCAAAACCCAAAAAGCAACCUCAGUUCGGAUUGAAGGCUGAAAUUCGCCUUCAUGAAGCCGGAAUUGCUAGUAAUGGCAGGUCAGCAUACUGCCGUGAAUACGUUCCCGGGCCUUGUACACACCGCCCGUCACACCAUGAGAGUUGGGAAUACCCGAAGCCUGUGAGCUAACAUAUGAGGCAGCAGUCGAAGGUAGAAUCAAUGAUUGGGGUGAAGUCGUAACAAGGUA